rnacentral:rRNA from 1 species
UGGUGGAGUGAUUUGUCUGGUUAAUUCCGAUAACGAACGAGACCUCAGCCUGCUAACUAGUCAGAUUCCGUUUGGAUUCUGGACUUCUUAGAGGGACUGUGGGGGCUACUCCACGGAAGUUUGAGGCAAUAACA